GAGUUUGAUCAUGGCUCAGGACGAACGCUGGCGGCACGCCUAACACAUGCAAGUCGAACGGAGAUAUUUUGGUUUACUGAGAUAUCUUAGUGGCGGACGGGUGAGUAACACGUGAGCAACCUGCCUCUGAGAGAGGGAUAGCUUCUGGAAACGGAUGGUAAUACCUCAUAACAUAACGAAGCCGCAUGACUUUGUUAUCAAAGAUUUAUCACUCAGAGAUGGGCUCGCGUYUGAUUAGAUAGUUGGUGAGGUAACGGCUCACCAAGUCGACGAUCAGUAGCCGGACUGAGAGGUUGAACGGCCACAUUGGGACUGAGACACGGCCCAGACUCCCACGGGAGGCAGCAGUGGGGAAUAUUGCACAAUGGGGGAAACCCUGAUGCAGCGAUGCCGCGUGGAGGAAGAAGGUUUUCGGAUUGUAAACUCCUGUCUAAAGGACGAUAAUGACGGUACUUAGG
rnacentral:rRNA from 1 species